rnacentral:rRNA from 1 species
GAGUUUGAUCAUGGCUCAGAUUGAACGCUGGCGGCGUGCUUAACACAUGCAAGUCGAGCGGUAACAGGUGUAGCAAUACAUGCUGACGAGCGGCGAACGGGUGAGUAAUGCUUCGGAAUCUGCCCAGUAGUGGGGAAUAACCUAGGGAAACUUAGGCUAAUACCGCAUACGAACUACGGUUGAAAGCAGGGGAUCGCAAGACCUUGCGCUAUUGGAUGAGCCGAAGUCGGAUUAGCUAGUUGGUGAGGUAAAGGCUCACCAAGGCGACGAUCCGUAGCUGGUCUGAGAGGACGACCAGCCACACUGGGACUGAGACACGGCCCAGACUCCUACGGGAGGCAGCAGUGGGGAAUAUUGGACAAUGGGCGAAAGCCUGAUCCAGCGACGCCGCGUGUGUGAAGAAGGCCUGCGGGUUGUAAAGCACUUUUUAGUGGGGAUGAAAAGCCGAAGGCUAAUACCUUUCGGUCUUGACCUAACCCAAAGAAAAAGC